GAUGAACGCUGGCGGCGUGCCUAAUACAUGCAAGUCGAGCGAAGCGGGGACGGGUGAGUAACACGUGGAUAACCUCCUAUAAGACUGGGAUAACUUCGGGAAACCGGAGCUAAACCGGUUAUUUAUAGAUGGACCUCCUCUGCAUUGGCAAGUGGGUAAGGUAACGGCUUACCAGGGCAACGAUGAAUACCCGACCUGGGAGGGUGAUCGGCCACACUGGAACUGCGACACGGUCCAGACUCCUACGGGAGGCAGCAGUAGGGAAUCUUCCGCAAUGGGCGAAAGCCUGACGGAGCAACGCCGCGUGAGUGAUGUAGUUCUUCGGUUGGUAAAACUCUGUUAUUAGGGAAACGGUACCUAAUCAGAAAGCGACGGCUAACUACGUGCCAGCAGCCGCGGUAAUUC
rnacentral:rRNA from 1 species